CGCCUGUUUAACAAAAACAUGUCUUAUUGAUUAUAAUUUUAAGUCAAAUCUGCCCAAUGAUUUUAUUUAAUGGCUGCAGUAUUUAUAACUGUACAAAGGUAGCAUAAUAAUUAGUUUUUUAAUUGAAAACUAGAAUGAAAGAUUAAAUGAAAUAUAAACUAUAUAAAUAAAAUUAAAAAUUAAAAUUAAAAUUUAAGUAAAAAUUCUUAAAUUAUUUUAAA
rnacentral:rRNA from 1 species